AUUGAACGCUGGCGGCAUGCCUUACACAUGCAAGUCGAACGGUAACAGGUCUUCGGAUGCUGACGAGUGGCGAACGGGUGAGUAAUACAUCGGAACGUGCCUAGUAGUGGGGGAUAAUUACUCGAAAGAGUGGCUAAUACCGCAUGAGAUCUACGGAUGAAAGCAGGGGAUCGCAAGACCUUGUGCUACUAGAGCGGCCGAUGGCAGAUUAGGUAGUUGGUGGGAUAAAAGCUUACCAAGCCGACGAUCUGUAGCUGGUCUGAGAGGACGAUCAGCCACACUGGGACUGAGACACGGCCCAGACUCCUACGGGAGGCAGCAGUGGGGAAUUUUGGACAAUGGGCGCAAGCCUGAUCCAGCAAUGCCGCGUGCAGGAUGAAGGCCUUCGGGUUGUAAACUGCUUUUGUACGGAACGAAAAGCCCUGGGUUAAUACCCUGGGGUCAUGACGGUACCGUAAGAAUAAGCACCGGCUAACUACGUGCCAGCAGCCGCCGUAA
rnacentral:rRNA from 1 species